AUUACAGAGAAUCUUCUCUUAAAACCCUGUGAACCUACCUUUGUUGCCUCGGGGGGCCGCCCGGGAGGCCGCGUUCUGCGCGGUACCCGGGAGCCACGGCGCCCCGGUGGCCCUUCAAACUCUUGUAUUGUAUGGCCUAUCAGAAACACUAUGUAAUAGUUAAAACUUUCAGCAACGGAUCUCUUGGUUCUGGCAUCGAUGAAGAACGCAGCGAAAUGCGAUAAGUAAUGUGAAUUGCAGAAUUCAGUGAAUCAUCGAAUCUUUGAACGCACAUUGCGCCCCCUGGUAUUCCGGGGGGCACGCCUGUCCGAGCGUCAUUUCGACCCUCCAGCUCCGCUGGGUGUUGGGGAUCUACGGAGACGUAGGCCCUGAAAAAUAGUGGCGGGCUCGCACAUACCCGGACGUAGUAAUGCUGUCGUCUAGGGGCUGUCGCGGGUGCUAGCCGUGAAACUGACGCAAGUCACUUUUCAGAAGGUUUGACCUCGGAUCAGGCGGGAAUACCCGCUGAACUUAAGCAUAUCAAUAAGCGGAGGAAAAGAAACUAACAAGGAUUCCCCUAGUAACGGCGAGUGAAGCGGGAACAGCCCAAAUUUGAAAGCUGGCCGUAAGGUCCGCAUUGUAAUUUGGAGAGGAUGCUUCUGGUGAGGUCCUGACU
rnacentral:rRNA from 1 species